rnacentral:rRNA from 1 species
UACGUAGGGGGCAAGCGUUGUCCGGAUUUAUUGGGCGUAAAAGGCUUGUAGGUGGCCACGCCAAGUCGGAUGUGAAAUCUCCCGGCUCAACUGGGAGGGGUCAUUCGAUACUGGCGGGCUCGAGGCCGGUAGGGGGAAGUGGAAUUCCCGGUGUAGUGGUGGAAUGCGUAGAUAUCGGGAGGAACACCAGUGGCGAAGGCGGCUUCC